CAGACGUGGAAUAAAUAAGAUCAGCCACGAACCAGCACUUCACGCAGUGUCAAGUACUAUGGACUACUCGGGAAUUGUUGCAGAGUCUCCGUAAUGAGAAACAGAGCUCCUUGCAACAAUUAUUUUUGGUGACCCCUACUGUGCAGCUGAAAAGUGUGCUUUUCACUAGUGAUUCAGUGAGAACCGAAGCCUGCGGUCGCUGGCUGCUGAAGGGUGGUAAACCCGCUGGAGGAUUUUAACAAGAUCACGCUUGUGCUGCAGUGAAACCAUUACUUUAAGGAUGUGAGCUGCUUCGUCCUAUCCAUGGUGUAGGAUUUUUCCACGAGAGUAUAACAAGUGUUACUACCGCCACACUUAAGAAAAACACCUCUUCCAGACUCAGGAAUUCAAGGAAGUCUCACCACGCUACUGUGAGAGCUAAAUUAGAGGGAACACUUUCUACUCCUGUUUACUGGAAGGAGAGUGACAAAGAAGACAAUGAUGGACUGAAAUGGAAAGACACUCAGAAGUACAGAGACAAGUUUCUUCGAGAACACGCUACUGAACCAGUGGACAGAAGGGAGAACC
rnacentral:lncRNA from 1 species